AUUAUCAUUAUCAUCAUCAUUAACAACAAGAAGAAUGUGAAAAAGUUUCAUGUACAUGUCCCCUUUGAGUCUUUUUAGGUGAUCCAUUCCUUUAUGCUCCUGGAUCACGGUGCCUCUACCAAGGCAUGCCUGAACAGAGUACUGCUUGUCAUGAGAAGCUUGGAGAUCCGAGGUAGCCAAAUGCAGAUGCUGUUGAUUGCACUUGGACUUGCAUCAGCCGGAACAAACCUCUUUUCCUUGGAGCACCAUUGCAAUCAAGUCUUCGAGCUCAGGAAACCCGCAGUCGUAUAUUCUAGUGUGGUAGUUGCAGCUUCUUCACAGUUUGGAACUUUCUCCAUCAUAGCAAGGCACUGCUCUUGACAGUGAAAUUUUGUGGAAGCUACUUGGAGUUUAAAUUGAUUGUGGCUCGUGCUGGCAUCAGGAAAAAGGGGCCAACUGCCAUGAAUGGCUUUGGAGAGACACCAAAGCCAAGGAGUUGAGAGUCCAUCAGAACUAGCUUGUGACAGGGAUGUCUCUUGGAAGGACUCAGGAUCAUCAUCCAUGAGUGCCAUCACGUUUGGAUUAGCUGCCACUGCAGUACUAGUAUCUAUGUUUCUUGUCAUGGCAAUCUUUGAACAUCUAAUCAUACCAAGGGUGUCCUUCUUUCGGUCGCGGAGCAAUUCACGAGGAUCCUCGGAAACCGGCCAGCUGCCUGUGCAGACUCACCUGCAGGAGAAGAUUCAGGAUUCAGUAGCAGUUGGAGCUCAGCACACAUCUGAUCUGUCUGUGCUAAUGCCGGGACAAGAUUAUCCUACCUUCAUUGCUCAACCUGCUCCUCUUCCUUGCCAAAGAGAGGGCAUGCACUGGCCUUCACAUGGUCCUCAUGUAUCCUACAAGUAAAUGAUGUCAUCUGGUGCAAUUCCAUUGGAGAGA